rnacentral:rRNA from 1 species
AAUUCGAUGCAACGCGAAAACCUUACCUACCCUUGACAUCGUCCGGAAUACCGAGAGAUUUGGGAGUGCUCGCAAGAGAGCCGGACACAGGUGCUGCAUGGCUGUCGUCAGCUCGUGUCGUGAGAUGUUGGGUUAAGUCCCGCAACGAGCGCAACCCUUGUCACUAGUUGCCAUCAUUUAGUUGGGCACUCUAGUGAGACUGCCGGUGACAAACCGGAACGGGAAGGUGGGGAGUGACGUCAAGUCCUCAUGGCCCUUAUGGGUAGGGCUUCACACGUCAUACAAUGGUCGGUACAGAGGGUUGCCAAGCCGCGAGGUGGAGCCAAUCCCUUAAAGCCGAUCGUAGUCCGGAUCGUAGUCUGCAACUCGACUACGUGAAGUCGGAAUCGCUAGUAAUCGCGGAUCAGCACGCCGCGGUGAAUACGUUCCCGGGCCUU